rnacentral:rRNA from 1 species
UUGAGAGUUUGAUUCUGGCUCAGAACGAACGCUGGCGGCAGGCUUAACACAUGCAAGUCGAGCGCCCUGCUUGCAGGGAGCGGCAGACGGGUGAGUAACGCGUGGGAACGUGCCUAUUGGUUCGGAAUAGCCCCGGGAAACUGGGUGUAAUACCGAAUGUGCCCUUCGGGGGAAAGAUUUAUCGCCAAUAGAUCGGCCCGCGUUAGAUUAGCUAGUUGGUGGGGUAAAAGCCUACCAAGGCUACGAUCUAUAGCUGGUCUGAGAGGAUGAUCAGCCACAUCGGGACUGAGACACGGCCCGAACUCCUACGGGAGGCAGCAGUGGGGAAUAUUGGACAAUGGGCGCAAGCCUGAUCCAGCCAUGCCGCGUGAGUGAUGAAGGCCCUAGGGUUGUAAAACUCUUUCAGUGGUGAAGAUAAUGACGGUAACCACAGAAGAAGCUCCGGCUAACUCCGUGCCAGCAGCCGCGGUAAUAC